rnacentral:rRNA from 1 species
AGAAUCAACGCUGGCGGCGUGCCUAACACAUGCAAGUCGCACGAGAAAGGGGAGCAAUCCCUGAGUACAGUGGCGCACGGGUGAGUAACACGUGAAUGAUCUACCUCCGAGUGGGGAAUAACUGAGAGAAAUCUUAGCUAAUACCGCAUAAUACCCACGGGUCAAAGCAGCAAUGCGCUUGGAGAGGAGUUCGCGGCCGAUUAGCUAGUUGGCGGGGUAAUGGCCCACCAAGGCGAUGAUCGGUA